CAGGAAGAAAUAGGAGGAAAUUACCUUAAUACAAUAAAGAAAAUAUACAAGAAAACGUCAGCUAACAUCGUAUUUCAAGACUGAGUGCUUCCCCCUGCGAUCAGGAACAAGUAGGUUUGGGAGGCCAGCAAGGGUCACAGAAGAGACACACACACAUCUGGAAAAUGAAAAGAGAGGAGAAGGUUUGAGCAAGGACCCACACACCAGAAAGGGCCUUUGAAUCCUUUCUCUCUUCUACUAGACAAGUCUUUCCCUCGUGGAGGGAAGCUGUCCCCUUCUCUCGUCCUCCUGACUCAGUGCCGACCUGCAACCCUUUCUGCACCUUGCGGCCAGGUGACCCCCCAGGACACAAAUGGGAUCAAGUCAUUUCCCGGCUGAUACAAUUGCUGGUGUUCCUCGCCCUCGACCGUGACACUGAAAGUGUACGACGUGGUCAGGAGCCAGCCCAACAACGUUGUUUC